AAACUGCGGAAAACGAUUUUUGCAGACGGACUGCACUGAAGAUGACCUGAAUAUCAAGGAGAUUUUAAGUGCAGUAAAAGCAGCCUUUGCAGCUCAGAACUUCUCCCCUUCAGAAUGGAACCUCAGGAGCCUUACAUCCCAACCCUCCUGUCCUGCCUUGGAAAUGUUUCUGGUGCUGUUUCUUAAAAAGACCUGACAUGCAGAUGUUCCAGUGAUGAAGAAGCAAAGUUCAAAUCUUUUUGCUCAAGUUGCUUCUCUUGACUCCUCGAUUCUUGUUUCCUGAGUCGUUUCCAGGUCUUCUACUCAACCUGAAAGUAGCAGCACGCUGCACAGAGCACCUGGAGAACUCAUCAGCCAAAUAUUCUUCCAUCUCUGUGGCCUGAAGUGGUGGAGCCAUGUCCAAUGUAGACUUACUAAAG